rnacentral:rRNA from 1 species
UGAACGCUGGCGGCAUGCCUUACACAUGCAAGUCGAACGGUAACAGGUCUUCGGAUGCUGACGAGUGGCGAACGGGUGAGUAAUACAUCGGAACGUGCCCGAGAGUGGGGGAUAACGAAGCGAAAGCUUUGCUAAUACCGCAUACGAUCUCAGGAUGAAAGCAGGGGACCGCAAGGCCUUGCGCUCACGGAGCGGCCGAUGGCAGAUUAGGUAGUUGGUGGGAUAAAAGCUUACCAAGCCGACGAUCUGUAGCUGGUCUGAGAGGACGACCAGCCACACUGGGACUGAGACACGGCCCAGACUCCUACGGGAGGCAGCAGUGGGGAAUUUUGGACAAUGGGCGCAAGCCUGAUCCAGCCAUGCCGCGUGCAGGAUGAAGGCCUUCGGGUUGUAAACUGCUUUUGUACGGAACGAAAAGACUCCUUCUAAUAAAGGGGGUCCAUGACGGUACCGUAAGAAUAAGCACCGGCUAACUAC